AUUGAACGCUGGCGGCAUGCUUUACACAUGCAAGUCGAGCGGCAGCGCGGGGGCAACCCUGGCGGCGAGCGGCGAACGGGUGAGUAAUGCAUCAGAACGUGUCCCGUAGUGGGGGAUAACGUUCGGAAACGGACGCUAAUACCGCAUACGUCCUACGGGAGAAAGCAGGGGACCUUCGGGCCUUGCGCUAUCAGAUGAGCCUAGGUCGGAUUAGCUAGUUGGUGAGGUAAUGGCUCACCAAGGCGACGAUCCGUAACUGGUCUGAGAGGAUGAUCAGUCACACUGGAACUGAGACACGGUCCAGACUCCUACGGGAGGCAGCAGUGGGGAAUAUUGGACAAUGGGCGAAAGCCUGAUCCAGCCAUGCCGCGUGUGUGAAGAAGGUCUUCGGAUUGUAAAGCACUUUAAGUUGGGAGGAAGGGCAUUAACCUAAUACGUUAGUGUUUUGACGUUACCGACAGAAUAAGCACCGGCUAACUCUGUGC
rnacentral:rRNA from 1 species